CACGUAGGGUGCGAGCGUUGUCCGGAAUUAUUGGGCGUAAAGAGCUCGUAGGCGGUGUGUCGCGUCGGCCGUGAAAACCUGCAGCUUAACUGUGGGCUUGCGGUCGAUACGGGCAUCACUGGAGUUCGGCAGGGGAGACUGGAAUACCCAGUGUAGAGGUGAAAUUCGUAGAUAUUGGGUGGAACACCGGUGGCGAAAGCGGCUCUCUGGUCCGGACCUGACGCUGAGGCGCGAAAGCGUGGGAGCAAACAGG
rnacentral:rRNA from 1 species